rnacentral:rRNA from 1 species
CGGGUGAGUAACACGUAUCCAACCUGCCGUCUACUCUUGGACAGCCUUCUGAAAGGAAAGAUUAAUACAAGAUGGCAUCAUGAGUCCGCAUGUUCACAUGAUUAAAGGUAUUCCGGUAGACGAUGGGGAUGCGUUCCAUUAGAUAGUAGGCGGGGUAACGGCCCACCUAGUCUUCGAUGGAUAGGGGUUCUGAGAGGAAGGUCUCCCACAUUGGAACUGAGACACGGUCCAA